UACGGAGGGUGCAAGCGUUGUCCGGAUUUAUUGGGCGUAAAGAGCGUGUAGGCGGCCAUGUAGGUCCGUUGUGAAAACUCGAGGCUCAACCUCGAGACGCCGAUGGAAACCAUGUGGCUAGAGUCCGGAAGAGGAGAGUGGAAUUCCUGGUGUAGCGGUGAAAUGCGCAGAUAUCAGGAAGAACACCCGUGGCUAAGGCGGCUCUCUAGUACGGUACUGACGCUGAGACGCGAAAGCGUGGGGAGCAAACAGG
rnacentral:rRNA from 1 species